rnacentral:rRNA from 1 species
CUUUACUGCAACUUGACGUUGGAACUUGGCUGUAUUUGUGUAGGAUAGGUGGGAGACUUUGAAGCAGGGCCGACAGGUCUUGCGGAGUCGUCGUUGAAAUACCACCCUGGUGCUGACGAGUUUCUAACCGUGUCCGUAAGCCGGACAUGAGACAGCGUCUGGUGGGCAGUUUGACUGGGGCGGUCGCCUCCUAAAAGGUAACGGAGGCAUUCAAAGGUCCCCUCAGCGUGGUCGGUAAUCACGCGCAGAGUGCAAACGCAUAAGGGGGCUUAACUGCGAGACCGACAGGUCGAGCAGGUACGAAAGUAGGAGUUAGUGAUCCCACGGUUUAGCGUGGAAUUGCCGUUGCUCAAUGGAUAAAAGGUA